rfam:Bombyx mori DNA, contig: Bm_scaf14_contig11173, strain: p50T/Dazao, build 2, whole genome shotgun sequence.
UUAAAUCAAAUUUGUAUGGAGCUGGAACGUUUGCUUACGUUUACCGCUAGGGGCGCUGUUCCAACUGCAUACAAAUUGUAGAUA